AGGAAAUGAGGAAUGGGUUUAAUCUCGCUUGAUGCGUGAAGAGCGUUCAGCUCAAAGCCUGUUACGACAAUUUGACGCUCCAAUUCUCGUACGAUCUGAUCCC
rfam:Arabis alpina cultivar Pajares Aa.chr1_contig_3369, whole genome shotgun sequence.